rnacentral:rRNA from 1 species
AGGAGACAGGUGGUGCAUGGUUGUCGUCAGCUCGUGUCGUGAGAUGUUGGGUUAAGUCCCGCAACGAGCGCAACCCUUAUUGCUAGUUACCAUCAUUAAGUUGGGGACUCUAGCGAGACUGCCAGUGAUAAACUGGAGGAAGGUGGGGAUGACGUCAAAUCAUCAUGCCCCUUAUGACCUGGGCUACAAACGUGAUACAAUGGCUGAAACAAAGGGCAGCGAAGCAGUGAUGUGAAGCGAAACCCAAAAAGCAGUCUCAGUUCGGAUUGAAGUCUGCAACUCGACUUCAUGAAGUCGGAAUCGCUAGUAAUCGCGAAUCAGAACGUCGCGGUGAAUACGUUCUCGGGGUUU